rnacentral:rRNA from 1 species
AUUGAACGCUGGCGGCAGGCCUAACACAUGCAAGUCGAGCGAGUGGCGGACGGGUGAGUAAUGUAUGGGGAUCUGCCCGAUAGAGGGGGAUAACUACUGGAAACGGUGGCUAAUACCGCAUACUAUCGGAUGAACCCAUAUGGGAUUAGCUAGUAGGUGGGGUAAAGGCUCACCUAGGCGACGAUCCCUAGCUGGUAUGAGAGGAUGAUCAGCCACACUGGAACUGAGACACGGCCCAGACUCCUACGGGAGGCAGCAGUGGGGAUUAUUGCACAAUGGGCGCAAGCCUUAUGCAGCCAUGCCGCGUGUAUGAAGAAGGCCUUGGGGUUGUAAAGUACUUUCAGCGGGGAGGCGUUACCCGCAGAAGAAGCACCGGCUAACUCCGUGCCAGCCGCCGCGGUAAUUC